rnacentral:rRNA from 1 species
GUCCACGCUGUAAACGAUGAGCGCUAGGUGUUGUGGGUGUUGACCCCUGCAGUGCCGAAGCUAACGCAUUAAGCGCUCCGCCUGGGAAGUACGGCCGCAAGGCUAAAACUCAAAGGAAUUGACGGGGGCCCCGCACAAGCGGUGGAGCAUGUGGUUUAAUUCGACGCAACGCGCAGAACCUUACCUGGUCUUGACAUCCCAGGAACCCGCCAGAGAUGGUGGGGUGCCCGCAAGGGAGCCUGGAGACAGGUGCUGCAUGGCUGUCGU